UACACCCGCAAGGCCGACGCAUAACGCGCCGCUGGUGCAAGUCCAGCCGCCCCCACCGGGGCGGGCGCUCAUGGGUAACAC
ncrna:unclassified sequences Twister-sister ribozyme sequence